AGUGAACGCUGGCGGUAGGCCUAACACAUGCAAGUCGAACGGCAGCACAGUAAGAGCUUGCUCUUACGGGUGGCGAGUGGCGGACGGGUGAGGAAUACAUCGGAAUCUACUUUUUCGUGGGGGAUAACGUAGGGAAACUUACGCUAAUACCGCAUACGACCUACGGGUGAAAGCAGGGGAUCUUCGGACCUUGCGCGUUUGAAUGAGCCGAUUUCGGAUUAGCUAGUUGGCGGGGUAAAGGCCCACCAAGGCGACGAUCCGUAGCUGGUCUGAGAGGAUGAUCAGCCACACUGGAACUGAGACACGGUCCAGACUCCUACGGGAGGCAGCAGUGGGGAAUAUUGGACAAUGGGCGCAAGCCUGAUCCAGCCAUACCGCGUGGGUGAAGAAGGCCUUCGGGUUGUAAAGCCCUUUUGUUGGGAAAGAAAAGAAGCAGGUUAAUACCCCGCUGUUCUGACGGUACCCAAAGAAUAAGCACCGGCUAACUUCGUG
rnacentral:rRNA from 1 species